ACCGCGAUAGCUCAGCUGGUAGAGCAUAUGCCCGGUAUGCAGAGGAUCGCCGGUUCGAUUCCGGCUCGCGGCA
rnacentral:tRNA from 1 species